rfam:Brachypodium distachyon strain Bd21 chromosome 2, whole genome shotgun sequence.
AAUGUACUUCCUCUAUUCAACAAAAGAUGUCUUCAAUUUGUCAAAAUUUAGAUGUAUGUAGACUAGACAUGACUCAAUGUAUAGAUACAUUUAAAUUUAAUUAAAGUUAAGACAUCUUUUGUUGGACGGAGGGAGUAUCUA